rnacentral:rRNA from 1 species
GAGGGGGUUAGCGUUGUUCGGAAUUACUGGGCGUAAAGCGCACGUAGGCGGAUCAGAAAGUUAGGGGUGAAAUCCCAGGGCUCAACCCUGGAACUGCCUCCAAAACUAUCAGUCUAGAGUUCGAGAGAGGUGAGUGGAAUUCCGAGUGUAGAGGUGAAAUUCGUAGAUAUUCGGAGGAACACCAGUGGCGAAGGCGCCUUUCUGGACUGUGUCUGACGCUGAGAUGCGAAAGCCAGGGUAGCGAACGGGAUUAGAUACCCCGGUAGUCCUGGCCGUAAACGAUGGGUACUAGGUGUAGGAGGUAUCGACCCCUUCUGUGCCGGAGUUAACGCAAUAAGUACCCCGCCUGGGGAGUACGUCCGCAAGGAUGAAACUCAAAGGAAUUGACGGG